rnacentral:snoRNA from 1 species
AGCACAAGUGAUGAGUGACAAAGGGACUUAAUACUGAACCAUGGGGUUGAAAUGAAAUAUGCUGAUGUGCU